GCUGAAUGUGGGGAUAAUUUAUCUCCGUGUUGUAGCUAACGCGUUAAGCACUCCGCCUGGGGACUACGGUCGCAAGACUAAAACUCAAAGGAAUUGACGGGGACCCGCACAAGCGGUGGAGCAUGUGGUUUAAUUCGAUGCAACGCGAAAAACCUUACCACUCCUUGACAUGGAGAUUAGAUCCUUCUUAACAGAAGGGCGCAGUUCGGCUGGAUCUCGCACAGGUGCUGCAUGGCUGUCGUCAGCUCGUGUCGUGAGAUGUUGGGUUAAGUCCCGCAACGAGCGUAACCCUCAUCCUUAGUUGCCAGCGGGUAAGCCGGGCACUUUAAGGAAACUGCCGGUGGUAAACCGGAGGAAGGUGGGGAUGAUGUCAAGUCAGCACGGCCCUUAUGGGGUGGGCUACACACGUGCUACAAUGGUGACUACAAUAGGUUGCAAUGUCGCAAGGCUGAACUAAUCCGUAAAAGUCAUCUCAGUUCGGAUUGUCCUCUGCAACUCGAGGGCAUGAAGUCGGAAUCGCUAGUAAUCGUGGAUCAGCAUGCCACGGUGAAUACGUUCUCGGGUCUUGUACACACUGCCCGUCACGCCAUGGGAAUUGGCUUAACUCGAAGCUGGUGCGCUAACCGAAAGGAAGCAGCCAU
rnacentral:rRNA from 2 species